rnacentral:rRNA from 1 species
AUUGAACGCUGGCGGCCGGCCUAACACAUGCAAGUCGAACGAGUGGCGGACGGGUGAGUAAUGUCUGGGAAACUGCCCGAUGGAGGGGGAUAACUACUGGAAACGGUAGCUAAUACCGCAUACCAUCGGAUGUGCCCAGAUGGGAUUAGCUAGUAGGUGGGGGAACGGCUCACCUAGGCGACGAUCCCUAGCGGGUCUGAGUGGAUGACCCGCCACACUGGAACGGAGAAACGGUCCAGACUCCUACGGGAGGCAUCAGGGGGGAAUAUUGCACAAUGGGAGCAAGCCUGAUGCAGCCAUGACGAGUGUAUUAAGAAGGCCUUCGGGGUGUAAAGUACUUUCAGCGAGGAGGCGUUACGCGCAGAAGAAGCACAGGCUAACUCCGUGCGAGCAGCCGCGGUAAUAC